ACUGCUCAGUGCUUAACUCAUGCGCUUGCUUGGCAGAUUGACUUGGCUGAGUGUUCUUUUUCUGAGACACCUUUAUCCUUUAGGUUCUGCAUGUGCACUGCUGUUACCUUCCCUGGCUUCUUGUUUUCAGCAUCCUUUGAAGACUUCCUCUGCCAUCUUUAAAUGUUGAUGCUCUCUGGCUUCCAGCUAUUGUCAGUUCUUAUUCUGUGCAUUCAUUCUCAAGCCCAGGGACUUAAUAGUUACUGUCUGUCUAUGAAUGUCAGAGCUUAGUGUGGUCUGUUUCUUUGCCUUCGUAGCUAUGUAUUUACGCACCUACUGCCAUGGCAUAGUGAAGUCAGUAUUUCUUUAAAAAACAAAACAAAACAAAAAACAAAAACCCCUACUUAUUCAAACUUGUGUGUCAUUUCACCAAAUACCAUCAGUAUUAAAACCAGAAUUUAAAAUAUAUUCCCUCUUUCCCUCUGACUUUAAAGUAUUCAUUCCCAGUUUCUUCCCCCACAUCCCCAGUAGAAUAUUGCAAUAUAGCCCAGCCUGGCUUGGCUUUGUGACUUGAGGCCUCAGAUUCCUAGGUGCUGGAAUCAUUCUAUGAGUUGCUGUGCCUUGCUCUCCUCUAAACAUUUUACACUUAUAUUAUUUUUCUAUUUCUUUUGAAUUAUAUUAAUGAUAAAUCUGCAUUGUUCCACCAAACAAAUGCUACCUGCUGUAUGUAUGUGUGCUUACACACAAUUUUGUUUUUGGGGGGAACAGUCCUGUGGAGAUUUUGUAUCUUGAGUAUGGGAAAGAAACAGGAUGUAGAAAGACUAAGCAGCCUUCCUAGAGGUCUCUAUUGGUGUGUGGAAACGUCUGAGAUCUGACUGUAAGCAGAUCACUUGUGAUGCCGUUGGCAUUGAAGCCACAGCCUCAUACAUGCUAAGCCCUGCUCUGAGCUGAACUGUUUCUUCCACUCCCAAGGCCUUACUGUUAAUCAUCAUUGUAUUACCUUCUAAUUCCUGCCUCUGUCACCUCACGGGAUGAAAGCUACCUUUUAAACUCUGUCUGCGAUCAUGCUGCUUUCCUAUCCAUUCUGUGCAGUGGGUCCUCAGACCUUUGUGGCUGUCUUCAGUCUUUCUGUGUUUGAGAGAGGACAUCUGAAUUACUGUAUUGACUGAUAAAGUCCGGAGCAGUUGUCUUUCCAGUUGGCUCUCACAGCAACUUUUUUGCAUUACAACUACUGUCGCUGCUCCCUCCCCUCCACUGCUUACGUCCUUUCAGUAUACAUAGGUUAUUGUUUUCAGUGCUGCAUAUAUGCAAAGUUUCUCCUAGUUGCCUACAUUUCUCAAGCUCUUCCUCCUGAAAUACCUCGUUUAUGUAAUAAAUAGCUUAUGUAAUCAAUAAAUAUAUAGCUGCUGAAUUGGAGUAGCACCGCUUGGAACCC
rnacentral:lncRNA from 1 species